GCUCGUCUAGCUCAGUUGAUAGAGUGCAAAGCUUUUAACCUUGAGGUUGUGGGUUCGAUCCCCAUGGUGGUG
rnacentral:tRNA from 1 species